AAAAAAUGGUGUUGGUAUUAUGUGUUUGUGUGAGUGAAGAGGUUAUGAGAGUUAUGUUUAUGGUGAUGAAGAAUAUGAAAGAAAAAUGAAGUGUGUUUUGCGUGUAGUGUGAAGGUUGGGGCUGUUAUGGUUGUGGAAAGAGAGUAUUUUUUUAUGGUGUUAUCUUGGUGAGGGAGGGAGGGGGUAUUAUGUUGGUGGAAGAAAAUAUAUGAGAGUUAUGAAGGGAGGGUGAUAUUAUAGUAUGUAGCAGGGAGUAUUAUUUAGUAUGGGAAAACAAAGAUGAGGAAAAGUGAGGAAGGUGUAAAGUGUGGUAGGUGAUU
rnacentral:lncRNA from 1 species